rnacentral:rRNA from 1 species
GACGAACGCUGGCGGCGUGCUUAACACAUGCAAGUCGAACGGAAAGGCCCUGCUUUUGUGGGGUGCUCGAGUGGCGAACGGGUGAGUAACACGUGAGUAACCUGCCCUUGACUUUGGGAUAACUUCAGGAAACUGGGGCUAAUACCGGAUAGGAGCUCCUGCUGCAUGGUGGGGGUUGGAAAGUUUCGGCGGUUGGGGAUGGACUCGCGGCUUAUCAGCUUGUUGGUGGGGUAGUGGCUUACCAAGGCUUUGACGGGUAGCCGGCCUGAGAGGGUGACCGGCGACCUUGGGACUGAGAUACGGACCAGACGCCUACGUGAGGCAGCAGUGGGGAAUAUUGCACAAUGGGCGGAAGCCUGAUGCAGCAACGCCGCGUGCGUGAUGACGGCCUUCGGGUUGUAAACCGCUUUCUCCUGUGACGAAGCGGGAGUGACGGUAAUGGGUAAAGAAGCACCGGCUAACUACGUG